rnacentral:rRNA from 1 species
ACUUGACUCUGGGAUAAGCCCGGGAAACUGGGUCUAAUACCGGAUAGGAGCGCCUGUCGCAUGACGGGUGCUGGAAAGAUCUUUCGGUCAUGGAUGGACUCGCGGCCUAUCAGCUUGUUGGUGAGGUAACGGCUCACCAAGGCGACGACGGGUAGCCGGCCUGAGAGGGUGACCGGCCACACUGGGACUGAGACACGGCCCAGACUCCUACGGGAGGCAGCAGUGGGGAAUAUUGCACAAUGGGCGAAAGCCUGAUGCAGCGACGCCGCGUGAGGGAUGACGGCCUUCGGGUUGUAAACCUCUUUCAGCAGGGAAGAAGCGAAAGUGACGGUACCUGCAGAAGAAGCACCGGCUAACUACGUGCCAGCAGCCGCGGUAAUACGUAGGGUGCGAGCGUUAUCCGGAAUUAUUGGGCGUAAAGAGCUCGUAGGCGGUUUGUCACGUCUGUCG